rnacentral:lncRNA from 10 species
CUGGCCACGCAGCUGUGCCUGGGAACGUCUGAAGAAAGCAGCCGGAACAGCGCAGACAGGAAGAGAUGGCAGUUGCCGUGGAGGAAAGUGAGGAUACUGUGAGGACACAGAGGAAAGUGUGAGCUCCUUUACUUGUGAAGACUUCACAGAAGAAAUAAUCUUUGAGCUGAAUCUUGAAAGAUGUGAAAAAGCUGCAAGAGAGACAAGAGGAGAGGGAGAUGGACAAGCAAAUGCAGAGGUAGGUAGACAGAAAAAAAAAGAUUCUACAUUUCCUGAAGCCUUGUAUUCAGGUAUGACUAGAGACCAGGUACACAGGAAAAAUGGUAGGAUAUAAGGCCAAAAAAAAGGAACUAAG